rnacentral:rRNA from 1 species
UGGCGAACGGGUGAGUAACACGUGGGUGAUCUGCCCUGCACUCUGGGAUAAGCCUGGGAAACUGGGUCUAAUACCGGAUAGGACCAUGCUUUAGUGUGUGUGGUGGAAAGUUUUUUCGGUGUAGGAUGAGCCCGCGGCCUAUCAGCUUGUUGGUGGGGUAAUGGCCUACCAAGGCGGCGACGGGUAGCCGGACUGAGAGGUUGUCGGCCACAUUGGGACUGAGAUACGGCCCAG